UAGGGAAGGUGGCAUAUCUAGAAAAAUGGU
rnacentral:piRNA from 1 species